rnacentral:lncRNA from 1 species
GGAGACACAACAGAGAGAGGCUGCUGGAGUUGGAGAAGCAGAUUGCGGGCAGCUCGGUGGUGAUGCGGCGACGGCUGAAGGGGGGUCUCGGGCGAUGAAGAAGCCACUGGAGGAUGAGGCGCACGUCGGGUCUACGAUGGUGUCGUCAGCGGCGAUGAGGGAGUCCUCUGUUGGCGGUGGUGCUCCAACGUUGGCACGACAGUGAUGUGCUUCCCUUCGGGGUCACGAGCUCGCUUGGCUGCUCCUUUAUGCGAAGUAAUAGGUGAGGGAGGUAGGGAGACCAAGGAGGAAAAUGAAAGCACCAAGAUGCGAAGUUGGGAACCUUCGGUAGCGUCAAAUUCGACAGUGGCGGAGCUUCUGCUCAGGCGGACUCCGGCGAGAUCCGAAACUGAGGUAGACAGAGAGAUAGGGCAGGUGAUUUGGUGA